CAGCAUGUUGGCUCAGAGGAAGCGCGUCGGGCUCAUAACCCGAAGGUACGAUCACUCCCGGAUCCCGAUUGAAUUCGAAACUAACCUAACCAGGUCCCUGGAUCGAAACCAGGACAUGCUAU
rnacentral:tRNA from 1 species